UACGGAGGGUGCAAGCGUUAUCCGGAUUUACUGGGUUUAAAGGGCGCGCAGGCGGAUAUGUAAGUCAGUGGUGAAAUCUCCGGGCUUAACCCGGAAACUGCCGUUGAUACUAUAUAUCUUGAAUGCUGUGGAGGUAAGCAGAAUAUGUCAUGUAGCGGUGAAAUGCUUAGAGAUGACAUAGAAUACCUAUUGCGAAGGCAGCUUACUACGCAGAUAUUGACGCUCAUGCACGAAAGCGUGGGGAUCAAACAGG
rnacentral:rRNA from 1 species